rnacentral:rRNA from 1 species
GAUGAACGCUAGUGGCAGGCUUAAUACAUGCAAGUCGUGGGGCAGCAGGGUUGUAGCAAUACAAUCGCUGGCGACCGGCAAACGGGUGCGUAACACGUACGCAACCUUCCCGUUACUGUGGCAUAGCCCAGGGAAACUUGGAUUAAUACCACAUAUUAUAUUGAGGGGGCAUCCCUUUGAUAUCAAAGCUUCGGCGGUAACGGAUGGGCGUGCGGUUGAUUAGAUAGUGGGCGGGGUAACGGCCCACCAAGCCUACGAUCAAUAGCUGAUGUGAGAGCAUGAUCAGCCACACGGGCACUGAGACACGGGCCCGACUCCUACGGGAGGCAGCAGUAAGGAAUAUUGGGCAAUGGACGAAAGUCUGACCCAGCCAUGCCGCGUGAAGGAUUAAGGUCCUCUGGAUUGUAAACUUCUUUUCUCUGGGGCGAAAACCAGCUAUUCUUAGCUAUUUGACAGUACCAGAGGAAUAAGCACCGGCUAACUCCGUGCCAGCAGCCGCCGUAAGAC